UGGGUAACCUGCCUCAAAGAGGGGAAUAGCCUCCCGAAAGGGAGAUUAAUACCGCAUAAUAUGUUUAAGUCGCAUGACUUUAACAUCAAAGGAUUUUCUUUUAGAAAUUCCACUUUGAGAUGGACCCGCGGCGCAUUAGCUAGUUGGUGAGGUAACGGCUCACCAAGGCAACGAUGCGUAGCCGACCUGAGAGGGUNAUCGGCUACAUCGGAACUGAGACACGGUCCAGACUCCGUAGGGAG
rnacentral:rRNA from 1 species